AAGUCGGUAACAAGGUUUCCGAUAAGGUGGAACCGUGCGGAAGGAUCAUUAUUGAAUUGUGGAAUGGGCUUGAUGCUGGCUUGUCCAUCCUUUGGCUGCAUGUGCUCGCCCCAGCAAUCCUUUUCCAAACACCUGUGCACCUUCCCUUGUGAGAAUGGGAGAGAAAGGGCUUGCCUCUUUUAUCUCGUCUCAUGAUUCAUAAACGCUGUUUGUGAUGUUGAAUGCAUUUAUGCCGUCAAGGCUUUAACCUAAUACAA
rnacentral:misc_RNA from 1 species